GCAGGCGAGACAAAGGACAGUUCCCUGUGGACCCCGCCUGCGGCACACCCCUACCUGUCUGAGCAGAGGAGCGCCUGACAGGGCACAUUCCACUCUGCACAGGGACAGAGAAAGCCUAGAAGAAGAAAGUGGUAGCGUUGGGAUUCAAACCCGUGAAGUCUAAUUUCCAAAUGGAUGCUCUUCAGGCCAGGGAUGAAUGUCAGCCUGUGAAAAAGCAAGCACGGGUCCGCACAGGCGGAGAGCACAGGCUGUGGAAUACUAUGGAGGAGACCCCGUGGGAAACCUCAACUAUAAUUGGAGUUGGGAAGGCCUAUCGAGGGAGCUAUCACACCUUACCACUUGAGGUCAACUACCCCAAAAAGGAAGACCUCAACUGCAGACCUCAACAGGAAGAAAGUCAAUUACAGACCACAACACUUGACUACUUUAAUACUCCAGCAGAUUCUCCCCCUGCCCAGCAACAAGCCCAGCCAAUGGAAACGUCACAGCUUAGCCAAUGAGAAGCCACCAUCACCUGAAUUCUUACUUUCCUUUAACGAACUUUCACUUUUCUUUUGCUGACUUCUUUGUCCCGCCCUCCUUUCUAUAAAAGCCUUCUCUCUUGUAUAACCCCUCGUAGC